rnacentral:rRNA from 1 species
CACGGGGGGAGCAAGCGUUGUUCGGAAUCACUGGGCGUAAAGAGCGUGUAGGCGGUCCGGUAAGUCAGCUGUGAAAGUCAAGGGCUCAACCCUUGAAUGCCGGUUGAUACUGUCGGGCUAGAGUCCGGAAGAGGCGAGUGGAAUUCCCGGUGUAGCGGUGAAAUGCGCAGAUAUCGGGAGGAACACCAAUGGCGAAGGCAGCUCGCUGGGACGGUACUGACGCUGAGACGCGAAAGCGUGGGGAGCAAACAGG